GCAGGGGUGGACUUUGGGGGUGCCUCAAGAGGGGCAGCAGGAUUCUCCCUGCAGAUGGGCUGGAAUUUGGGAAAAGACAAGGGGCUGGGUCAUGCCUGGAUGGGGGACUUGAGCAUCCAGAGGAGCGUGCUGUUUUGUAGCACUAGGUGGGGUGGGAGGGCGCUCAGGUUUCACCGGGUUGACUGAGAGGUGAGCAGUCUGCGGGGAAGGCUCGGCACAGGCAUGUUCACAGCCGCGGGCCUGGUGAUACCAGCCGGAGAAGAGCCUAGAGAGAGGAGGGGACCCAGAAGGGAGUGGGGGUGCUUUUCCCACCUCGAGAAUAGUCUCUGAUAAGGAGAUUACCAAGGAGUGGUCAGGGAGUUAGGAGAAGAGCUGAGAGCAGGUAAAGGUGAGGUUAGACGGCAUCCUUUUUUUUUUUCCCAUUGGUUUUUUUUUUCCAUUUUUUUCCAUUUUCCAUUUCAACACAACACUGACCUGUUGUAUAACCGUCAUCCAUCUUCAGACCUGUUUUUGUCUUCAUAAAUGAUCAUCCGUUUAUUUUUAGUUAGUCGGUGCCGUCAUGCUGGGAGGCUGCUGCACGUCAGGCAGGGUCCCACGCGCUGGGCCUGCGGUGUGCGGGCCAGACUUCAGUAUGAGGGGCAGUGAUAGAGCAGCCAUAGACCCCAUCUCGUGGUGAGGGCCCAGGCCAAACCCUCGUGGGGCUGGUUGAGGUUGCUGACCUCAGAAGGACAGCAAAUGAUAGUGGUGUCAAGAUCCCAGAGGCCGCCCAUUUGUGUCAGGGCCACAAGGAGGCGCUCACACACAGAGACACUUUCCUUGCGGUUGGUUCUUCACUUCUUUUUUUCUUUAAAAACCCUCCUAGUGAUUUCCUUGAGUUCCACUUCAUGGAUAACUUCAGCAACUGCCAGGGUUGCCUGGCAGGGUUCCAGUUACUAAAUUUAAGAGCACAGGGUAUUUCUGAAUGCAUAAUAGGAACUAAAAUGAUAUAAAAACGUGUCACUUAUCAUGACAAGCUUACCUGCUGUGAGGUAAGUCGAGUCACUGUUGCUCCUGACAGAGGUGCGAAGGGGGACAGACAGCUGGCGGGUGGCAGCGCUGGGUGUGACGUUGGGAGGUGAGCGGGCGCCUCGCCCCUCAGCCCCUGCCUGUGGUGCCUCAGCUGCAGAUCGGAACCAGGGCCCCCCUUUAUAAAGGGGAGGGCAGGGUCCUGGGAGAGUGGUUUCAGGUGUCCUUGAGUUGCUUGUGUGUACACACUGCCCCGUUACUUACCCCAGGGAGCACUUGCAGCUCCGGAAGGCUGUGGGCUUUGAGGGUCAUGCCCACCCUGCCACCGCCUGCCUGACAGGGUGGAGCCGGACCCCUCAGCCUCCCAGCCACUCCAGCGUCCCACCCAUUUGCUUCGGUGAUCCUCCCAAGCCGGCCCCAACAGCUGUGGCCCACAGGGGUGUGUUAUUUUUU
ensembl:lncRNA